UAUGUGAUCGUCUCUCGCAUAUCAAUAAGCGGAGGAAAAGAAACUAACAAGGAUUCCCCUAGUAACGGCGAGUGAAGCGGGAAGAGCUCAAAUUUGAAUCUUAAAGGGUUUCCCUUUACGAAUUGUAGUUUAAAGAAGUGUUUUCUGUUGAGGUUUUGGUAAAAGUUCUUUGGAAUAGGACAUCACAGAGGGUGAGAGUCCCGUAUUUGACCUUUACUUUCAACUUUGUGAUACACUUUCAAAGAGUCGGAUUGUUUGGGAAUGCAGUCCAAAAUGGGUGGUAAAUUUCAUCUAAAGCUAAAUAUUGGCGAGAGACCGAUAGCGAACAAGUACCGUGAGGGAAAGAUGAAAAGAACUUUGAAAAGAGAGUUAAACAGUACGUGAAAUUGUCAAAAGGGAAGCGUUUGACACCAGUGUUGUUUUUCUGAAAAUCAAUUAAAGAACUGUUUAUGCUAAGUUGUUUAGACUUUAUCAGCUAACUGUUUAGUUUUGAGCUUUUCUUUAAUGCACUUUUCAGUUAACAAGUCAACAUCAAUUUCUUUUGCUGUAAAAAAGCUUGAGGAAGGUGGCUUGAGAUUCGUCUUAAGUGUUUAUAGCCUCUUGCCUAUGCAGUCGGAGAGAUUGAGGUCUGCAGCGUAGAUCCUUCGGGGCUAAAUGCAUUUGUGCUAAGUUAUAACAUUUUAUAGACAACUUGUUGACUAUGAUUUGUCUUGUAGCUUACUCGCUUAUGUUAUUUUACCUACGCUUAGGAUGUUGACACACGCGCGUGCUCG
rnacentral:rRNA from 1 species